rnacentral:rRNA from 1 species
GUCGAACGAACUCUGGUAUUGAUUGGUGCUUGCAUCAUGAUUUACAUUUGAGUGAGUGGCGAACUGGUGAGUAACACGUGGGAAACCUGCCCAGAAGCGGGGGAUAACACCUGGAAACAGAUGCUAAUACCGCAUAACAACUUGGACCGCAUGGUCCGAGUUUGAAAGAUGGCUUCGGCUAUCACUUUUGGAUGGUCCCGCGGCGUAUUAGCUAGAUGGUGGGGUAACGGCUCACCAUGGCAAUGAUACGUAGCCGACCUGAGAGGGUAAUCGGCCACAUUGGGACUGAGACACGGCCCAAACUCCUACGGGAGGCAGCAGUAGGGAAUCUUCCACAAUGGACGAAAGUCUGAUGGAGCAACGCCGCGUGAGUGAAGAAGGGUUUCGGCUCGUAAAACUCUGUUGUUAAAGAAGAACAUAUCUGAGAGUAACUGUUCAGGUAUUGACGGUAUUUAACCAGAAAGCCACGGCUAACUACGUGCCAGCAGCCGCGGUAAUACGUAGGUGGCAAGCGUUGUCCGGAUUUAUUGGGCGUAAAGCGAGCGCAGGCGGUUUUUUAAGUCUGAUGUGAAAGCCUUCGGCUCAACCGAAGAAGUGCAUCGGAAACUGGGAAACUUGAGUGCAGAAGAGGACAGUGGAACUCCAUGUGUAGCGGUGAAAUGCGUAGAUAUAUGGAAGAACACCAGUGGCGAAGGCGGCUGUCUGGUCUGUAACUGACGCUGAGGCUCGAAAGUAUGGGUAGCAAACAGGAUUAGAUACCCUGGUAGUCCAUACCGUAAACGAUGAAUGCUAAGUGUUGGAGGGUUUCCGCCCUUCAGUGCUGCAGCUAACGCAUUAAGCAUUCCGCCUGGGGAGUACGGCCGCAAGGCUGAAACUCAAAGGAAUUGACGGGGGCCCGCACAAGCGGUGGAGCAUGUGGUUUAAUUCGAAGCUACGCGAAGAACCUUACCAGGUCUUGACAUACUAUGCAAAUCUAAGAGAUUAGACGUUCCCUUCGGGGACAUGGAUACAGGUGGUGCAUGGUUGUCGUCAGCUCGUGUCGUGAGAUGUUGGGUUAAGUCCCGCAACGAGCGCAACCCUUAUUAUCAGUUGCCAGCAUUAAGUUGGGCACUCUGGUGAGACUGCCGGUGACAAACCGGAGGAAGGUGGGGAUGACGUCAAAUCAUCAUGCCCCUUAUGACCUGGGCUACACACGUGCUACAAUGGAUGGUACAACGAGUUGCGAACUCGCGAGAGUAAGCUAAUCUCUUAAAGCCAUUCUCAGUUCGGAUUGUAGGCUGCAACUCGCCUACAUGAAGUCGGAAUCGCUAGUAAUCGCGGAUCAGCAUGCCGCGGUGAAUACGUUCCCGGGCCUUGUACACACCGCCCGUCACACCAUGAGAGUUUGUAACACCCAAAGUCGGUGGGGUAACCUUUUAGGAACCAGCCGCCUAAGG